GUGCUUGCACCUGGACAAACGUCUAGUCUCGAGCAACAAAACACAAGAAACUAUCAGGGACUAAAAGUAACUACAUGCAUGCACAGUUGGGACAAAUUAUGAACAAAAAGAUACAAAAAGGUGCUACCAAGGGGUUGGGCAGACCAUCUAAACCACCCCUCCAGCCCAACCAACCAAUCCGCCCCUAUCCUCACCCCAUUUAAGGAACCAGCUCAUCAUCCCCCUUCAGGGAGUGAGCAAGGGCACCUGAUACUUGUGUUUUUGUUCCCUCCUGCUUCAGCUCGAGUCCCCAUAAAGCCAUGCCUGAAUUCCUCAUCUGGCCCCUUAUCAAUUUCAAUUAAUUAAAGAGUCCAAGGACCCUGAUGGGUAGCAAUUAGGACCUGCUUGGAAGAGCCAAGGGCACGUACUUCUUCCCAGCUUCACUUAAAUGACUUCACCUUGGCAGCUUGAAACUCGCCACGGUGGGAGCAUUUACAUCAAGGAAAUCAGCAAAAACUGCCUUCCUUGGGGAUCCAGUCUGCUCUAGGAAAUUCUGCCAGAUGAACAAAGGGACCUCCCAGACUGCUGCCCCCUUUCCCUGUGUGGGUGCACAGUGUGGGCACCAGGGCAGGCAUUCUGGGCUGCCCUGCUCGCCCACAUCUCUCUUCCACAUCCUCUCCCAUCCUCCCACCAAAAGCCUCAGAUCCUCUCACCAAUCUCCUGACUUAUUUUGAGAAUGUUUAUUCAUGUGGCGCAGAGGGGAAGCAAUUACCAUCAAACGGGAACCAUGAAUGCUUCUCAGCACCAGUUGCUAUGAUGGGUUUCCUGAGAAAAGUCUACAAAAUUGAAAUUACAAGCUUUCCAGUAAAUUCUGGAUGAUUUGUGAUUUCUUUUAACAUGCCCGCUUGGCUCCUGGACUGGGUUUAGCAGGGGCAAAUUUGUUUAAUGAGGAAUAUAGAUCAUCAGAAGAAGCGAGGAAAAGACAAGACUUAGAAUGUGGAAAUCAAUGUAGCGUUAAGAAUUUGCAGAGUCACGACUGAUUUCCAGCACCAGUGGGCCACCAGCAGCAGGAUGGGAUUAGGGUGAGGGGACUGAGGCUGCAUAAGUGCAGAGAUGGAUCCCAUCUCUAUGUAAAAUUUUGAGAUUUUGUUCAUCAAGGAGUUUUUGCAUUACUUUAAAAAAGGUUUUCUUUAAAAUAUUAUUUAUUUUGAUUACUGCUCUUUUCUAUGCCUUCUUAAACUUUGUGCCUCAAAUGAGUGCCUCACUUGCCUCUCCCUCACCUGGACCUUGCUGGUCCAUGUGUUUACAGAGGGAGCGGAGAGGGUUGGCCAGCCUGGGGAAUUCCUGAAGAGGAAGCACAUGAGGGGUAAGACGUUGACAUGUGUGUGAUGUCUUCUUUCUCUGUGGGACAGGAGAUGAAGUCAUCAGCUAAGUGAGGAGGACAGGCCUUGGGCAGGGGGGAGAUUUAGCAUGGCUGGUGAAGAGCCUGGGAGAGGGAGCAGGUCCAGGACAAGUGGAGGCCCGUCACUCAGCACCAAGGACUCUGCCUGCAGCUGGAUAUCGCCAUGUAUAAUGAUGCUGUCUGCCUGUGACUUAGGCUUCCUGACAGCCCUGGAGGUGUUGUAGGAGUCUAGAGGGAGGGAAUGACCCACGGUCUGGGGUUGCUGGGGUGGAAGGAUGGGAACCAGGGAGAGGAGGGCAGAGGUGCCAGGUGAUUCUGCAUCUGAGACAGGGAGGUGGG